rnacentral:rRNA from 1 species
CAAAAACAUCGCCUCCUGACUAACCAUAAGAGGUCAAGCCUGCCCAGUGACAUUGUUCAACGGCCGCGGUAUCCUAACCGUGCGAAGGUAGCGUAAUCACUUGUUCUUUAAAUGAGGACUAGUAUGAACGGCUUCACGAGAGCUUUACUGUCUCCUUUAUCCAAUCAGUUAAACUAAUCUCCCCGUGAAGAAGCGGGGAUCAACCUAUAAGACGAGAAGACCCUAUGGAGCUUCAAACACUUUUAAACACUUGACACUUCACACUUUUGCCUCCAGAAACCUUAACCGAGCCAAUCGAUCUGUUUUAAGUUUUGGGUUGGGGUGACCACGGAGAACAAUCUAACCUCCACGUAGAAAGAAACUCACUUUCUAAGCAAUAAGCUACACCUUUAUGCAUCAAUAUAUUGACCUAAAUUGACCCAAUUAUUUGAUCAACGAACCAAGUUACC